UAUCAGGAAAGCUGGAGUGAGUUGGGGCAGGGUCUUUACAAACAUUUUUGUCCUUGGCAGAUGGGAUGGCGACUUUAAGACCCAGUGCCACCCAGGUGGAGGUUGUAUCCUGUGGAAGGUAUCCCUCAUCCCCUCUUUCGAGACAAGCUGCCCCUGUCGUUUGGUGUAGUGGGACUGAACAUUCUGCUCCUAGCCCGAGGUUAGGGUGGCUAAGAUGCAGCCCUCUGCCUUUUUCUCCCUCCAGGGGUCACUGGAAACGGUCGACACUUCUCUGUUCUCCUCUCCUGGAUCUGUAAAUUCCAUUGCCAGCAGUCUGGUGUCCCAGGUCUGGCGCUUCUUUGGCUGUGGACAUGAAGAGGUUACUCCAGCCCUGGAGCCUGCUGGGCUGAGUUAGCAAUUCCCCUCCACAUCCAGGAGCUCUCCAAGUAGCAGCUCCCUUUGCACCACGCAAAGGGGAUAGCAGAGCAGGCUAGGGACACCGCUGCAGUAGGUCGCAGCAGGGGUUCUGUCAGCAUGUGUCAUCCCGUGGAUCCCCACUGUCAGGCCAGGCGGCCGGGAACUGGAAGGCAAAGGCAUCCGGAGGAGUGAAGGAUGCCCCCUUAGCUGCAGAGCGCCUGCUGGAACUGCUGCUGCUGCUGCUGCUGCUGUUGCUGCACACGCCUUUCGCUGUCUCCCCAGGCUGCAGCGGCCCCUGGGACCCAGAAGCGGGACUGGAGCCGCAGAGAUCCAGGCAGGACCCAGGAGUCUCGGACUGCCGCCUGUGAGGCAGCUCCCCAGGGAGCCUGGGCAGUGCUCUGCUGGCUGCCCGGUGCAGGGCUGGAGCCCUCUCUAGCCAGUGUGGCUGAGAAGCAAUCAUCUCUUCCCCAGCCACAGGAGCGGCCCAUCCACAUCCAGGCUUCUUUCUUGAGCAGAGGAAGUAACUCCUGUUGGGGCAGCUUUGACUGAGCUCUACAGCUAAGGCUUGUACACCAGCCCCCUCGUUUGCAGAGCCUUCGGGGUCAUUUCUCAGCUGCCGAAUUUGAGAGAAAAAAACAAAAACAAAACAAAACUGUGAGAACAGAGCAGAGUGUGGAGCCUUGUAAACUUUGGAGGCGGGGACAUUUUCUUGAAGGGGACAAGUGGCCCCAAAUCUACACUGUUCUCGGGCUAGUGGCAAAGCCUAUUGGUGGAACACCAGCCACAAGGCCAACAGCAAGGACUUACGACCGUCAUGGAGUCCGUGUUGGCAGCAUCCAGUUCUCCCACAGGCCGGGUUACCUUCUCCCGUGUCUUCGGCCAACAGUGCCAGCUGAUGGAAGCAGCGGUGCAGUCAUUGCACACCCUAAAUGACCAGAUUUCCCAUUUCAUUGUUACCAAGUCGAAGGCACUGGAGGAAGACGAUGACCCCUUUCUACCCACGGAGAAAGAGACACUGAAGAACUCGAUGAUAUUGAUGAGACAUCUCUUAAUGGAUGCCCAGGGCAACUCUUUGGAGCUCAAUGCUGCUUAAAUACCAGGCCCAGACAGCUGCCAAAGGGAGCAUCAUCCAGCAAAGAUUUCUAACAGUGGUAAAGUCAAUGCUGGCUCUACACUUCCUCCUGACCAUAAAACGAAGCAGAACGAAGGCUGUGUGCUUGGCCCCCGGGAACCACACAAAGCAAGAAACAAAGAAGUGUGGCAAGCUUUACCAGAAACUCACCACAUAUUUCAGAACUAGGGAUGGGUUUCUGUCCCCAGCUGAUUGUGUUUGGGAUCAUGGCUCUGGGAUCAAGUCUUCUGUGUUAGCCAGCUUUCUGUUAUUAUAACAAACACCUGAAGACUUGGAUUUAUAAAGAAAAAGGGUUCCUUUGAACUCAUGGGGUUGAAGGUUCCAGUUGGUGGUCUGUGGAUCCUGGUGCUUUGAGUCUGGAGUGAAGCAAAAUGAAGGGGAACACCCAGGACCCACAAUCUUCAAGGACAAGCCCUCUGUCAUCUAAAACAGCCUCACCAGAGACUGUCCCAUAGAGAUCCCAACAGCCUUCAUUAGUGCCACCCUAGUGACCCAGAGCCCUUCAUCUUUUGGGGGACAUUUAGAAUCCAAACUACAGCAUCCAAGAUCUGCUGCUGACUGGCUAAAGAUAUGGAACAAGCCAUGGUGGCCUUUCCUUGAUCUAUCCCAUGAGAUGAUAAAUACCUGUUAUAGUCAGAUAGCUAUGCUCUGCAGGACCACAGUCUGUCUGAAAGGUUGUGUGUAUGUAUACAUGUGUGUGUGUGUGUGUGUGUGUGUGUGUGUGUGUGUGUGUGUGUGUGUAAGUAUACAUGUGGAGAUUUUUAUUUUCUGAUUUUGUAGCCAUGCAGUAUGUGUGUGUGUGUAUGUGUAUACAUGGUGUACACAUGUGGUGUGGUGUGGUGUGUAAUUGCAUAAUGUAUGCAGGUAUGUAUGCAGAUGUGUACACCUAUGGACACUGCAGGUGCCAAAAGAGGAUUCAGUUGUCCUGCUUGAUCUCACUCUGCGUUAUUGAUUUGAGACAGGGUUUCUCACUAAACCUGCAGCUAGGCUGAUAGCCAGCAAGCCCCAGGGAGACUGCUGUCCAUAUGCAUGCAGGCAUGCAUGCGUGCGCACACAGAGGGGGUGGAGGGGAAGAAAGAAAAACAGAUAGACAGAGAGAGAAGAGAAAGGAGAUGGAGCAGGGGAGGAGGAGAAGACAGAAGAAGGAAGAGGAGGAGGACUGGAGAGGAGGAGUGGGGGAGGAGGAGGGAGGAGGGUGAACAGAGAGAGCUGGAGUUUAUACUCAUUACCUAGCUUUUCCCGUGAGUCCUGAGGACUUUAACAACUCUACUGUUUGUAUAGCAAGUGCCCUGGCACACUGAACUAUCGCCCUAGCCUCCCCCUUGUUUUCUGAGGCAGGAUGUCUCCAAAGCUUGGAGGUUGCCAGGUAGCAUGGGCCGAGAGCCGCCUGUCUCCACCUCCCCAGUGCUGGGAUAACAGGUAUAUGGCAUCUAUCUCGUCCAGCUCUUUUAUGUGGAUCCAGACUAGAACUCAGGUCCUCGUGCUGUGCCUAUAAAGCAAGCACUUUUCUGAAUGUAAUAAGGUGUGUCACUGGCCUUAUCUGAGGUAGUCUUGGGGGAAAAGUCAGGAGCCAUUGGGAUCUUGAGUCCGGGGUGAUGACUCUUGAGUGAGACCACAGGCUCUCAGCUCUGGAUUCAGGACAUCUGCCUGGGUUUGCAUUGCCACUGAGCUGGCCUAGGGGUUGUUGAAGCUCCAGCCUCCAGUACUGAUGCAGAAGGUGCCUCAGCCAAGCCUGUUACGUGUCACAAGAAUGAAGAAUACAGGACAAGGAACAGCAACAGUCUAUUUGGAGAACUUUGUGCAGUGCCAGGUAUAGACAGCGAUCAAUAAAUGCUAGUCCUGAAAGUGUUGGAAAAGUCCAGGGAGGUUAUGCAGGUUUGCAUCUUGGAGGAUACGUGUGCUCGGGAGACCCUGAAGCAGCACCAACAAGUCCCAUUUCCCUUAACUACAGGGCUGGGGAAGAAAGGGGGAGGCAGAGAUGGGGAAUAGCCACCAGGGUCUCUGAGUCCCAUUUACCCUGUUCUUUGUCCAGUUCCAACUAGAUACUCUUUGCCCCAAAUGCAGUCCCACACUGAUAAAUCCAUCUCAAGUUGAAAAUGACCCAGGUCAAAAUGCAUUCAUUAUUACGGCUACUUUGGGAUAUGACCACUCCAAGAAUUUCCCUGACAUCUGUGUGGACAGAUAUUAAAAUUGUAGCAAACUCUUAGCAACAGGGAUGAUGGUUUAAUCUUAACUGUCAACUGUCUUGGAAUUAAAUCUCCAUAGCAACAAAUCUCUGGGCAUCUCUGUGAGAGAGUUUCUAGAUUGGGUUAAUCAAAUAAGGAGACCCACUCUGGGCAGCAACAUCCACUAGGCUUCCUUGCCAUGAGCAGUGCACCCCCAAACUAGGAGCCCAAAUAAAACCAUCUUUCUUAGGUUGCUUAAAUCAGAAAAUGAAUUCAUCAGGCCACUGUCCUUUAGCACUAACACUAAGGAAGCUUUGGUUAACACCUGCUUAGAUCUCUGUCUCUCUUAGAAAACAACAGAACCAAACUAAAAGGCCAGGAUGGUUCCCGAACUCUUCACAACUACUAAUCUGUUAAGGUCCAUUUCAAAGACAGAAUAGACUUCCUCAGGCAUCGUAUUCUAGGAGGGGAGGUCAGGAUGCAGAGAGCCACUGGGCAGAGAACACACAUAUUGACAUAUGUGUGAGGGUGAAGAAGAGGAGAGCAAGCCCCAUGAACCCUCAGGUCCCUCCACCCCUGUCAAUAACUAACAAGGGAUAUCCAGAUGAUUAUUGAUAGCUAGCCACACGGUCACAGAAAGAGAGGCACCAUCCACCCCAGUGGCAUUUUUUCUCCAGGCAUUGCUAGAAGAAAUUGAGAAAACGAGCAGGCUGGAGGGUGAGGACUCUGUGCUGCCCCCAAAUGCUGGUCAGUGCCGACUCUGACAUUUACAAAGUGGUCAGGACCACUCCAGCAAAAUCCCUCUUCCCUCUCUGCACCCCUCGUGAUAUUUAAACAGAAAUGUCACCCUGGUGGCAUUUAUGUCCUCCUGAUUCCAUCAGAAGUGUGGCUGUCACUGGAGUGGCUCCUUUUUGCUCCCUUUCAGAGCAAAAGUAUAAAGUGCUGGUCUCAAAAGGAGAAGAAGAAGAAGAAGAAAUAGCAGAGCAAAAGCAAAUGGGGGCUUUGUAAACUAAAGGUGAAAUCAAACUGCAGCAGCAAAUACUGUGAACAAAAAUGCUGGACCUGCCUGAGACACUUGGAGAGGCCCCGCCCACCAAGCAGAGAGGCCCCGCCCACCGAAGGCACCUCGUGGUCAUUACUUUAGCCUCUUGUGUAAGAUCAUGGCUAUGGUUAGAACUGUGGCAUACCCCACAGAGCUUAAGGACUUCAUCAGAGAACUGUGAACCGCACCCACUCGAGGAGAUGACAGCUCACACUGGAGGUGGCUCCAUCUUGCAAUCAUCUCCUCCUUUCUUUGGAAGCCAGGGACAGGUUGGACAAGCAGAGUCACUCAAAAUCCAGUUUCUUGAGUUGGAGAUUGAUUAACUCCAUCCCGGACUUGUGUGUUAUCAGAAUGGAUUUCUUUUUUUUUUUUUUUGCUUCUUGGCACCAUGCGCCAACAAUUGCAUUUUUAAAAUGCAUAGCAGUGCACAGCACAGAGAGACUCCUAUUUGGAAGCCUCAGCAUCUCCACGAGAUGCUGCAGCUAAAUGAGAAAGUGUGCACUUUUGAGAUUGCCAGUGUAGAGGCGCAUUCAUGGCAGGUAAGGUCUAAUAAUGUGUGCUAAGGUCUGUUAGUGACAACUCCUCUCCAUGAAAAUACACACACACACACACACACACACACAGGGGGGAGGGAGAGGGAAAGACAUCUACACCUGCUCACUUCUGAGACCCUCCCCAUUACCAGUGUGAUUUUCUUCCUCAUGACAGCUUCAUAAAGCAAUAUGAUCGACCCUGAUGCCCAUUUCCUGACUCUGCAAUGACUUGGUCACACUUGUGAAGCUAGGUGAUACUUGCUUUGGCUUAGAAUGUGCUUGGCACCAUCUUGAUUUGAUUUGCCCUAUAACUGACUAAACUUAAGAAAAAAAAACAAGCUAGGUGUUUAUGCCUUCCAGAGAGCAAAGCAGAUGUGACCUACCUGCAUCUCAUUGGGUCUUGUUGGGUAUAAAAGUUAAAGCUUUAAGUUGUGUCCAUGAUAUGCACUCACUGAUAAGUGGAUUUUAGCCCAGAAACUUAGAAUACCCAAGAUACAACUUGCAAAACACAUGAAACUCAAGAAGAAAGAAGAGCAAAGUGUGGACACUUUGCCCCUUCUUAGAAUUGGGAACAAAACACCCAUGGAAGGAGUUACAGAGACAAAGUUUGGAGCUGAGACAAAAUGAUGGACCAUCCAGAUACUGCCCUACCCGGGGAUCCAUCCCAUAAUCAGCCACCAAACGCAGACACUAUUGCAUAUGCCAGCAAGAUUUUGCUGAAGGGACCCUGAUAUAGCUGUCUCUUGUGAGGUUAAGCCAGUGCCUGGCAAACACAGAAGUGGAUGCUUACAGUCAGCUAUUGGAUGGAACACAGGGCCCCCAAUGGAGGAGCUAGAGAAAGUACCCAAGGAGCUGAAGGGAUCUGCAACCCUAUAGGUGGAACAACAAUAUGAACUAACCAGUAC
rnacentral:lncRNA from 1 species